CCCCCACCUUCCCGGGCCGCUCCGCCCCCUGCUCGGUGCGUCACGCACCGGAGCGCUGCUCCCGGCUACAAAUAACCCGCAGUGCGCGAGCGGUGGCUCCUACGCAGGCCCGCCGCCAGGAGGGGGACUCGGCGGCCACCGCGCACGUCCCCGCGUCCGGCCGACUCGGGCCGCACGGGGGUGACGCGCCCGCGCCUCCCCGGGCACGCACGGACCCGGGGCGCGCAGCACCUGCCGGGCCUCGGACGUGAGCGGCAGCCCCUGCCCCAGAGGCUGGGAGCGCUCAGUCACCCGAUCUGUGGGUGGCUGGAAGACCUGCAGGAGAGAGGCUGACCGACAUCGAACGUUUAUGCUGCAGAAUUGCGGCUUAGCCUGGUUGCUGGACCCAGGCUGAGGCCGUCUGCGGUCUCUCUGAUUCCCUGAAGAUUCUCUGUCCUCUCCCUGCACCACUUCCUCAGGCUGGUUCUCCAGAUCAUGAUUUCCACCCAAUGAGCUUCAUUGAAAACUGUGCUUGCCCUUUGCAUGGUGGAAUAGGAUUAUUUGAAACAGACUCUCUGUAUAUUGCUACAACGAAAAGAUAAAGAAAGUUGGGAGGAAAGAAAUGGCUAUGGACAAGGCCCUGGACAUCUUCCUGACCUCGAAAUCCUUCUCAAAUGCCCACCUGACCCAAGAGAGAGGAUGAUGUCUGCACCUCCAAGUUGUAUGAAAUGACCAACAGACCUGUCUUAUUGGAAGCCCCUGGUUGGACCUUCUGCUAGGCUGCACAAAGAAAGAGCAAAUGGACAGAGGGCCUUCUCAUUCCAGAUGGUAUAAAUAGGGAAAAAGUGACCUCAUCUGUCAUUGGGAUCUCCCACCAAACAUACUCUGAUACUCAGACUUAAGGCCUUCACACUUGGUCCCCUGGAAUUUGGCUGUGCUCCCGGAGAAAAGUGUGUGGGACGGAGAUUAAGUUUCCAUGUCCCCAGUGGAAUGAGGACUCAAAGGGUUAGAAAAUAGGUUGGCUACAGAGGGGAAAAAAAAAAGGAAUAGUGCUGUUUACCUUCUAAAUUAGGGACUGGGCAUGGCACUGUCUUUUAGAAAUCCCCAAGGAUCAUAGAGAUAUGGUAACAAAAUUCCAUUUAUUUUACAUAAAAGAUUGACCAAUAUCAAAUAGGCUAAUGAAGACCAGUUUGAGAGAUUAUGAGAGAAAAGCCAUUCAUAAGAACUGGGGGUGAGGGGCUGGAGCAAUAGCACAGCAGGUAGAGCGUUUGCCUUGCACGCUCAUUUUCAAAGAGGCCGACCCGGAUUCAAUUCCCAUCAUCCCAUAUGGUCCCCUGAGCACUGCCAGGGGUAAUUCCUGAGUGCAGAGCCAGGAGUAACCCCUGUGCAUCACCAGGUGUGACCCAAAUAGAAAAAAAACAAAACAAGAACUGGGGGUGGGCGAGUAAAACAACAUAAACAUUCUCAAGAGCUUCUUGGUACCAGGUACCAGUUCUAAGGAAAUCAUUAUUUAUGUGUUCAGUAUAUGAAAAAUGGUUCUUUAAGGGCUAGGGAGAAAUGUCAAAGGUCUGGAGUAUAAGCAUUGAAUGAGGGAGGUCUGGGUUCAAUUCUCAGCACAGAGCCAGACCCAAGAGCACUGCCAGUUGUGGCCCAGAAACAAACAAAAAAAUCUCAAAGGUAGUUCUCUGCAUGCUAAUACAGCCAAAGCUUGUAAUAGAAAAUUAAAAGAGAGAGAGUACACAGGUCAAGGAACUUGUCUUGCAUGCCAGCAACCCAGCUCAAAAUCCCUGGCACCACCAGGGGUAACUUGUGAGCACAGAGCCAGAAAUGAUCUCUGAGUACUUAGAGUAUGGCCCAAAUUACAGCCAGCUCCACCACCACCACACACAGAACUGAAAAAGGAAAGAAAAAGGUGAGAAUAGCAAGUUUUCCAAUGAUGUUUCCAUUGUAACCAACUUCUUCCAAAUGCCCUACUUCUAAAUACUUAGAAAAUUUCAGUGAGGAUAUAAAAGUAUUCCUACCAUAAAAAUCUUUGACAUGGUAGGAAUAAUUUUUAUUUUCUUCUCACUGAUACUGUGUUUUCUAAUUAUAUGACAGGAGAUAUAGAUUACUUGUGUUACGACUUUCCUAAACUUUUUAAAAAGGAAGUAGUGGGGGACCAGGUCAUGCUCAAGUGGUAGAGCAUGUAUCUGUGAGGCCCCGGUUAUUUCCCUGCCACUGGCUGGCACAACCAAGAGGGUCCCCCGUAAUAUGAUGGCAACAGCAAUAACAAAGAAGUUGAGGAUGACUGAAACACAUCAGGACUGUGGGUGGAUGAUGAGUUAUAGAGAGGUUCUUAGGGUUCAGAUGAAUGACAGGGCUGGAGUGAUAGCACAGUGAGUAGAGCACUGGCCUUGCAUGCAGCAGAUCCAGAUUCAAUCCCUGGCAUCCCAUAUAGCCUCCCAAGCCCACCAGUGUAAUCUCUGAGCACAGAACCAGGAGUAACCCCUGAGCACUGCCGGAUGUGGCCAAAAAAAAAUCAGAUCAAAGACUGACAUUUGUUCUGCCUUGAUACAUCACAAAGGAAUGUUUUUCAACAUUCCAGUAAACAACCUAACUAGCAAAUGAUUGAUCCAUUUCCCCAAGUAAGCACUGAGUGACCUUGAGGACUCCUAUAAGAGCCGAUCUCUCAAUCUUUUUAUUCUCAAGUACAUGCCUUCAAUGUAGAUAGCUAUUUUCCUUGUCUUUGUUGCCUGGGCAACAAAAUAAAGAGUGGCAUUUCUUUUAAGUGACCUUUAUCUGCUCUCCAUCCAACAGACCACAAUUACUAUCUACACAACUUGCUCUCCUAUCUAGAUCCAAAGCCUGUCCAGUUGAGUGUCCAGAUUUCUAAGGAUUAUCCUCCUUUUCUGGCAUCCUCUCUCUCUGAAAAGGAAGCACAUGAGGUGCGAUACUUCCUCUAGGUGAUUCAAACUCACCUUCCCCAGACAACCCUAACCCCAUCUAUACUUUCAGUUGUCCUAAACUACUUAGUACCAAGACAUAUUUUUUUCCAAAGCUGAGCACUUCUAUUGGUUUCCUAGGACUGAUGGUACAAAAUUUCCCCAACAUGGGUUUUGAAAUGACAGAAAUGUAUCUAUCAGAGGAAGCCAGAAUGAAAAAUCAAAGCAUUUGCAAAACAGUGCAAAAAAUCUAUUCUGGACAUCAGCAAGGUAGAACUAAGGUAUCAGGAGAACCAUACUCCCCCAGAUACUUCCUGGUCACUUCUUUCUAGAGUUCCUGGAAUUCUGAGGGUUACAGAAAUGAAACUUAUCUCCACUUCUAACACGACAAACCCACCUCCAAGCUCACUCCCACCCCACCUUGCAUCUCCCUCUCCUUGCUCUUCUAUGAUGCGUUACAGUCCUUGAAUGUCAGGUCCACCUCAAAUAUGGGACAUACUUAUUGUGAGGUCUUCACAUUACACCUGCAAAAACCCUACACCCAAAUAAGGUCACAUUUACAGCCGGGGGUUUGUGGGGGUGGUUUCCCAUUUGAAUUUUUCCUUGGGUGGAGACAAUUCAAGUCACUAUAGUGUUACACGAACCAAGGAGUGAUUCUCUUUAGUAGAUGUAGAUGUGUAGCUAAUUAUAAGCAAGACUAACAAUUACUGAGUACUUAGUAAUGUGCAACAUGCUAAGCAUUUGACAAACAUUAUCUUUCCUCCAACACACCCCUCCACCUCCUAACAACCGCCCAAACAUCCAAUUUCCAUUGCUUUGCCUUCUGCCAACAAGAGUUCUCAAAAUCCUGCCAGUGAAAAGAGCCUUCAUAAGUAAGGAGGGACUGGUGUUCCUAGACUAUCCUAGCAUGACCUGUUAAGCCACUUUUUGAGACUUGGAGAGUAGCCAUACACCUGGUUUUAAUAUUAAUGUGAACUGCAGCCUCGGUAUCUAAUACCAGGCUCUGUACACAAUAUCAUCUUCAUCCCCACUCUAUAAUAAAUAUCUUUGCCAAACCAGAUCAUCCUAAUGCUGUCCAGUUUUAUCCCCAAGUUUCAAGUACACCAUAAAUUUGAAAUAACAUUAACAUUUAUACCGAUGUACUCACUAUUUAAUUCUCUAUCAACAUUUUGCUACUUUUCUUUAUCCUCUAAAGAUGCACCCAUCUAUUCUUUCUUCCUAUGAACCCGUCUUAUUUCACACACACACACCCCACCCCCCAAACACUCAACUCAGCACGUGUGAGGCCAGAGCAUAGGCUCUUUGGUGGCAGACAGAGCUCUAAUGGGAAGGAAAGAGGAUAAAGUUAGCUGAACAUGGUGGGCAGAGCCAUUGUACAGAGAGCAGGACACUUGCCUUGCAUGCCGCCAACCUAGGUUCAAUUCCUGGCACUCCAUAUGAUCCCCCAAAGCCAUCAGGCAUGACUCCUGAGUGCAAGGAGUGCUAGGACUAAGCCCUGAACACUGCUGGUUGUGACCCCAAACACAAAGCAAAAUAAACAACCAAAGUAAGUGAGCUGAACAGGGUCAGAUCCCUCUCCUAUGCCACCAAUUAAGUUAGGCAUGCCUCUGACCAUGGAUAAAAUAAGUAAAUGGUAAGAGUGCCCAAUGGUGUGACCUUGGGUAUCUCUAUUCAUGAGGAAACAGUAGUGAGGCAUUCAUUCUUUUACAAAGAUAGCCCUGAGAGAUUUGAUGCAUGAGCCUCUUCAACGGUAACCCAAUAGUAAUUUCAACCAUUUCCUGCCAUUCCUAACAUAACUUUCUAAUAAGAAUUUGCACUCAGGUAACAAUACUAGCAUCUUCCAUUUUUCACAGUUCUCCUAAGCUUUCAGUUGCUUAUUGCUCUCAUUUUCUCAUAUUCUAAGCAGUCAUUCCCUAUGCACAGAAGAAUAUGAGGCUCACAACCAAUCAGUUCCCUGACUAGAGAAGAAAAACAAUUUUUUAGGCUGAAACAAGAAUUGCCAGGCUGAAAAACUUCCAGGAAGAACUAAAAUUGGUACAGUUCAGAUCAUUUGUCUAUCGUCGAUGGAUCAUUAGACCAAGAAGACAGGGUCCAAUCUGAGUCCUAUGUCACCAAUGUACUUGAAGGGAUUAAAGUCUAUCACAGAUACAAGUUGUGUGCAUGUGUGUGGGGGGGAGGGGAAGAGGACAGGAUUUCAACAGGCACAAAAGAAUUCCAGUACUCUAGCUCAUUGAUUUUUAUCCCUUUACCCCAGGGCUUCCUCUACUGAUAACCCUUGUUCAAAUAAGAAAAUCCUAUUGAUGCUAUAAUGAGAAAAUCUCUUUAGCAAACACUUUUUUACAUAUGACAUUAGGGGCUACUGGUUUUUUUCUUUUAACAUCUGUUUAGAUUAGGUAAGUAAUUAAUGAAAAAUUAACAUGCUUUCAUAUCAAGGAAUAGUAGCAGCUUUUACUAAAUUUGAUAAUGAAUUUCAUUGUUCUUGAAAUUUCUUGUUUAAUAAAAUAGAGUGUAAGGGUGAAUUUAAAUGCCUAAGUAACUUGGUAUUGGGGGAAGAAUAAACUGUUUAACCUCUGUUUAACCUUUUCUGCAAUGUUUAUUUAAGCAUUCUCCCAAUGUUUAUAUGAUUCACUCAAGAAUGUAUCCCAGGUUAUGUACAAUUAGAUAUAAGUUAUUUACAAAUCUGUUCCAGUCUGGUUGCCUCUAUAACAAAUGUUAAGAAAAUAAACUGA